GACGAACGCUGGCGGCGUGCUUAACACAUGCAAGUCGAACGGAAAGGCCCUGCUUUUGUGGGGUGCUCGAGUGGCGAACGGGUGAGUAACACGUGAGUAACCUGCCCUUGACUUUGGGAUAACUUCAGGAAACUGGGGCUAAUACCGGAUAGGAGCUCCUGCUGCAUGGUGGGGGUUGGAAAGUUUCGGCGGUUGGGGAUGGACUCGCGGCUUAUCAGCUUGUUGGUGGGGUAGUGGCUUACCAAGGCUUUGACGGGUAGCCGGCCUGAGAGGGUGACCGGCCACAUUGGGACUGAGAUACGGCCCAGACUCCUACGGGAGGCAGCAGUGGGGAAUAUUGCACAAUGGGCGGAAGCCUGAUGCAGCAACGCCGCGUGGGGGAUGACGGCCUUCGGGUGGUAAACCGCGUGAGCCUGUGACGAAGCGUGAGUGACGGUAAUGGGUAAAGAAGCACCGGCUAACUACGUG
rnacentral:rRNA from 1 species